rnacentral:rRNA from 1 species
UACGUAGGGUGCAAGCGUUGUCCGGAAUUAUUGGGCGUAAAGAGCUUGUAGGCGGUUUGUCGCGUCUGCUGUGAAAUUUCGGGGCUCAACCCCGAACUUGCAGUGGGUACGGGCAGACUAGAGUGCGGUAGGGGAGACUGGAAUUCCUGGUGUAGCGGUGAAAUGCGCAGAUAUCAGGAGGAACACCGGUGGCGAAGGCGGGUCUCUGGGCAACAACUGACGCUGAGGAGCGAAAGCGUGGGGAGCGAACAGG